CACCGGAGCUUGCUCCACCGGAAAAAGAGGAGUGGCGAACGGGUGAGUAACACGUGGGUAACCUGCCCAUCAGAAGGGGAUAACACUUGGAAACAGGUGCUAAUACCGUAUAACAAUCGAAACCGCAUGGUUUUGAUUUGAAAGGCGCUUUCGGGUGUCGCUGAUGGAUGGACCCGCGGUGCAUUAGCUAGUUGGUGAGGUAACGGCUCACCAAGGCCACGAUGCAUAGCCGACCUGAGAGGGUGAUCGGCCACAUUGGGACUGAGACACGGCCCAAACUCCUACGGGAGGCAGCAGUAGGGAAUCUUCGGCAAUGGACGAAAGUCUGACCGAGCAACGCCGCGUGAGUGAAGAAGGUUUUCGGAUCGUAAAACUCUGUUGUUAGAGAAGAACAAGGAUGAGAGUAACUGUUCAUCCCUUGACGGUAUCUAACCAGAAAGCCACGGCUAACUACGUGCCAGCAGCCGCGGUAAUACGUAGGUGGCAAGCGUUGUCCGGAUUUAUUGGGCGUAAAGCGAGCGCAGGCGGUUUCUUAAGUCUGAUGUGAAAGCCCCCGGCUCAACCGGGGAGGGUCAUUGGAAACUGGGAGACUUGAGUGCAGAAGAGGAGAGUGGAAUUCCAUGUGUAGCGGUGAAAUGCGUAGAUAUAUGGAGGAACACCAGUGGCGAAGGCGGCUCUCUGGUCUGUAACUGACGCUGAGGCUCGAAAGCGUGGGGAGCAAACAGGAUUAGAUACCCUGGUAGUCCACGCCGUAAACGAUGAGUGCUAAGUGUUGGAGGGUUUCCGCCCUUCAGUGCUGCAGCUAACGCAUUAAGCACUCCGCCUGGGGAGUACGACCGCAAGGUUGAAACUCAAAGGAAUUGACGGGGGCCCGCACAAGCGGUGGAGCAUGUGGUUUAAUUCGAAGCAACGCGAAGAACCUUACCAGGUCUUGACAUCCUUUGACCACUCUAGAGAUAGAGCUUCCCCUUCGGGGCAAAGUGACAGGUGGUGCAUGGUUGUCGUCAGCUCCGGUCCGGGAAAUGUUGGGUUAAGUCCCGCACCGAGCCCACCCUUAUUGUUAUUUGCCUUCUUUCAGUU
rnacentral:rRNA from 1 species